rnacentral:rRNA from 1 species
UACGGAGGGUGCAAGCGUUAUCCGGAUUUACUGGGUUUAAAGGGUGCGCAGGCGGAUAUGUAAGUCAGUGGUGAAAUCUCUGGGCUUAACCCCGGAAAUUGCCAUUGAUACUAUAUAUCUUGAAUGCUGUGGAGGUAAGCGGAAUAUGUCAUGUAGCGGUGAAAUGCUUAGAUAUGACAUAGAACACCUAUUGCGAAGGCAGCUUACUACGCAGAGAUUGACGCUCAUGCACGAAAGCGUGGGGAUCAAACAGG